GACGAACGCUGGCGGCGUGCUUAACACAUGCAAGUCGAACGGAAAGGCCCUGCUUGCCGGGUACUCGAGUGGCGAACGGGUGAGUAACACGUGGGUGAUCUGCCCUGCACUUCGGGAUAAGCCUGGGAAACUGGGUCUAAUACCGGAUAGGAGCCAUUUUUAGUGUGAUGGUUGGAAAGUUUUUUCGGUGUAGGAUGAGCUCGCGGCCUAUCAGCUUGUUGGUGGGGUAAUGGCCUACCAAGGCGGCGACGGGUAGCCGGCCUGAGAGGGUGGACGGCCACAUUGGGACUGAGAUACGGCCCAGACUCCUACGGGAGGCAGCAGUGGGGGAGAUUGCACAAUGGGCGCGAGCCUGAUGCAGCGACGCCGCGUGGGGGAUGACGGCCUUCGGGUUGUAAACUCCUUUCGCUAGGGACGAAGCUUUUUGUGACGGUACCUAGAUAAGAAGCACCGGCUAACUACGUG
rnacentral:rRNA from 1 species